GUAGGUGAGGUGAAGGCUUGGCCACUAGCAAUUAGUAUAAAGACAUGAAUAUAUGCUGACAAAGUUAUGAGCUGGACCUGAUUCGGAGCUAUUUUCAAGAAUCAAGAACGUGUUGUAAUUUUACAAGACAAGGAGAAUCAUUUUAUGGAUAAGAAAGAAUCUGGCAAGGAAAUUUCUGAAGAAGUGACUCGGGAGUCACUAAUCGCCAUAUCAUACAGUGAACCAGAGAUAGAUCCUUCUAUUGAAUCUGUACCUGAAAAUUCCAACUAUGAGAAUGUGGUGAAAUCUCUUAACGACAUCAGAGAUGAUAAAUGCAGGUCGGAGUUGAUCUCAAUAUCCUAUGCAGAGUCACCAGACACUGAAGUUCAACCUGGAGAGUUCAAGGGCUAACUAAUAAUUAACUGGUUUUAUAGGCCAACUCCAUGUUAAAACUCUUUUUUGCUUUUGCUACAUGUUGUUUACUCAUAAAGAACUAGACAUUGUUUGAACUUGUAAUGUUUUCAUGUGUUGCACCUUAUAAAGUCUGUUGUUGUAAUCAUUGGGGUAGGCACUCUUU